UACGAACCGUGCGAACGUUAUUCGGAAUCACUGGGCUUAAAGGGCGCGUAGGCGGGCGGCCAAGUCAGAGGUGAAAGCCCCCAGCUCAACUGGGGAAGUGCCUUUGAUACUGGUCGUCUCGAGGGAGAUAGGGGCGUGCGGAACUUCCGGUGGAGCGGUGAAAUGCGUAGAUAUCGGAAGGAACACCGGUGGCGAAAGCGGCGCGCUGGAUCUCUUCUGACGCUGAGGCGCGAAAGCCAGGGGAGCGAACGGG
rnacentral:rRNA from 1 species